CGGCGUGCCUAAUACAUGCAAGUAGGACGCACAGUUUAUACCGUAGCUUGCUACACCAUAGACUGUGAGUUGCGAACGGGUGAGUAACGCGUAGGUAACCUGCCUAUUAGAGGGGGAUAACUAUUGGAAACGAUAGCUAAUACCGCAUAACAGUAUGUAACACAUGUUAGAUGCUUGAAAGAUGCAAUUGCAUCGCUAGUAGAUGGACCUGCGUUGUAUUAGCUAGUAGGUAGGGUAAAGGCCUACCUAGGCAACGAUACAUAGCCGACCUGAGAGGGUGAUCGGCCACACUGGGACUGAGACACGGCCCAGACUCCUACGGGAGGCAGCAGUAGGGAAUCUUCGGCAAUGGGGGGAACCCUGACCGAGCAACGCCGCGUGAGUGAAGAAGGUUUUCGGAUCGUAAAGCUCUGUUGUUAAGGAAGAACGAGUGUGAGAAUGGAAAGUUCAUACUGUGACG
rnacentral:rRNA from 1 species